CUCGACUUCACACACUGUGAGCACAACCCAGCCCUCUGAUUGGCUGUUGCCCGGGGUAACCACGGACGCUGUGGGCACGCGGGGGCCCCCGGCCGGUAUUUGAAGCAGCUCGGGCCCGCGCUCCCCUCAGUCCGGCCUGGACCGGCUACCACACUGGCACCUGAGCUGAGAGAGGGUGCAGCAAGUGCCAUGGAUCUUCCUCAGAAGAACAUGAAGGAAGUUGCUUCUGUGUAUAUGGUUCUCUGCCAUGGCCUCAGCAAUCCAUAAUCCAUGAAUGGAGAGGAUUCCCCAUGGUCAGAUAUCAAGUACUGCAACUUGCACAUCUGGUUAUAUUCCCAGGAUCAGAGAUUGGGAGCUGGAAGGAAUCUUACCAUUAUUCAUGAUCCUGACCCAAGAGUUGUCUUAGACCAGCAUUCUGAUGGAAAGAGAAAUGCAGGCUGCCAUCUAGAUGUUAACAUCCUCACCUGUGAUCUGGAAUCACACAUCUCUCUCCAUCAGUGAUUAUCAGGUGCUGGCAGAGCACAGUCAGAGUUGAAGCCAAAAAAAGGAAAGAAAAAAUAAGAAAGACAACACCUACAUUCUGAUUGCUGAAGCUGCAAAGCUAAAAAUCACUUUGCAAUGGAGGUUCAUUCCAAUAGUUUGAUUUUAUUCCCGUCCUGUUGACUGAGGUGAAAUGUCAGCCCUGCAGCUACCUUUCAUCAACAUGCUUAGAAAAAAUCCCCGGGCCAGGUAAGUGGCACAGUGGAUAGAGCAGGGGCCCUGAAGUCAGGAGGACUUGAGUUCAAAUGUGGCCUUAGGCCAAACACUUGACCCUUACUAGCUGUGUGACCCUGGGCAAGUCACUCAACCCCAAUUGCCUAAAAAAAACCAAACUCCCCAAACUAUUGAAAUACUUUGAGGAAGCCUCAACACCAGUCACUUCAUGUCUCUCACCUAUUUGCCAGCUCACAUCAUGUAAAGGAGAAAUUAGGUGACUUGGAACAAAGCCCCAAUGCAAUUACCUCGUCAUGGAUUGGAAUGUUCAUUUGCAGAAAUGGCCUCAGU
rnacentral:lncRNA from 1 species